UUGAGAAUAAACUAAAAAAGUUGUUUGGUUCAUACCCAGAAUAUAGAAUUAAUUUUCUUUCUCAUA